AAUUCCGCGCGAUUUCCAUAUUUUCGUGUGCUUUAGCCCACGCCUUCCAAGGGGUCCCGGGAACCCCGAACCCCGAUCGCCUAAAAAUUUUCGGGGCCAUAAAAUACGACCUAAGGAACCAUAGUAACCGCCCCGCCAUGAUCGUUCCUCAUUUAUUGCAUUUUUCGGCCAAAAAACUAGAAUUCCGCCCGAUUCCAAUAUUUUUGUGUGUUGUAGCCCACGCCUUCCGAGUGUUCCCGGGUCUCCGGACCCCAAUCGCCUAAAAUUUUUCCGGACUAUCAAAUACGACCUAAGGUACCAUAGUCACCGCCCAGCCAUGAUCAUUCCUCAUUUGUGGCGUUUUUUGGCCAAAAAACUAGAACUCCACGCGAUUUGCAUAUUUUCGUGUGCUAUAGCUUACGCCUUGCGAGUGGUCCCGGGAGCCAUGGACCCCGAUCGCCUAAAAUUUUCCGAGCCAUAAAAUACG
rnacentral:lncRNA from 1 species